rnacentral:lncRNA from 1 species
UCCCUAAAGAAUGGAACAGCAGAUACAGACCUGUGUGCAUUCAUCUGGCUGGAACAGGAGACCAUCAUUAUUGGAGGCGCAGAACGCUCAUGGCUCGUCCCAUGAUUAAGGAGGCCAGAAUGGCUUCAUUGUUGCUAGAAAACCCUUAUUAUGGCUGCAGGAAGCCCAAGGACCAAGUAAGAUCCAGCUUAAAAAAUGUGUCUGACCUAUUUGUGAUGGGAGGCGCUCUUAUUCUUGAGUCUGCAGCUCUCCUGCACUGGCUGGAGAGGGAAGGUUAUGGACCUCUUGGGAUGACUGGGAUAUCCAUGGGAGGACAUAUGGCCUCCUUAGCAGUGUCCAACUGGCCCAAGCCCAUGCCGUUGAUUCCAUGCCUGUCUUGGUCCACAGCGUCUGGGGUCUUCACCACGGGUGUAUUGAGUAAAUCAAUUAAUUGGCGGGAGCUGGAAAAGCAGUAUUAUACACAGACAGUUUAUGAAGAAGAAAUUAUUCAUAUGCUCGAAUACUGUGGGACAGAUUCUUUCAAAAUGGGACACGAGUUCAUGAAACACUUCCCUAGCAAUGAAGACAAGCUGACUAACCUGAAUCUGGUUUCCAGAACUUUAAACUUAGAUAUGAGAGACCAAGUUGUGUCCCCAAAGCAUGCUGAGUGCCAUCAUUCUGGUAAAGCAUCUAUCAGUGCUACUUCAAAAGGACAGCUGUUGCAAGAUACAGCUAAGGUGGAACGCUUGAAUCAAACACUCACAACUAACAAAAGUUGUUUUGCAAGUUACAACCCUCAGUCAUUACACUUGCUCAGUAGAGAACAAAGAAGGAGCAACCUUCAAAAAGAAUCUUUAAUAUUCAUGAAAGGAGUCAUGGAUGAAUGCACUCACGUAGCAAAUUUCUCAGUUCCAGUUGACCCGAGCCUCAUUAUAGUGGUGCAAGCCAAAGAGGAUGCCUAUAUUCCGCGAACAGGAGUUCGGAGCUUACAAGAAAUUUGGCCUGGCUGUGAAAUCCGGUAUCUAGAAGGGGGUCAUAUCAGUGCUUAUCUCUUUAAACAGGGACUCUUCAGACAAGCCAUCUACGAUGCCUUUGAACGUUUCCUUCAUAAAUAUGCUAACUAAUUGGAUCGAUGUAUGGUAUAACAUCCUGUCUCCUGCUUUAAAAGAGUUCACCCUAUGAUGAUGUGAAAAACAAGCAGACAGCACUACAUACCUGAUUGCUGCCAAGUGAGUCUGUAUGGCCAGUGCUGCAGGCAUUUACAACUGUAGGCACAUUUCAGUAAUGUGAAAGCAGUACUUGAAUCAUACAAUCCUGAAGU